CUGCUGCCUUCCGUAGGAGUUUGGACCGUGUCCCAGUUCCAAUGUGGGGGACCUUCCUCUCAGAACCCCUACGCAUCGUCGGCUUGGUGGGCCGUUGCCCCACCAACUACCUAGUGCGCCGCAUGCCCAUCCGUGACCGGGGUCGCCCCCUUUGGCCGGCAGGGGAUGUCCCCUCCCGGCAUUAUGUUGUAUUAGGCGGGAUUUCUCCCGGUUAUCCAUCUGUCACGGCCAGGUUGCAUACGUGUUACUCACCCGUGCGCCGGUCGCCGGCGGCAAG
rnacentral:rRNA from 1 species